UGAUGUGGCCUAUUCAAAUCCUUGUGAAACGCAGAAACGCUUUUCUGAGAUAAACCCUGGACCGAUUUUAAUGAAAUUUGUUGCAUUUGAGGGAGAAAGUUAAGUUAUAGUGACUGUUGGAAGCGGAAUUUCGAAUUAGGGCCUGUAUUUUGUCUAAAUAAAUAUAAAAAAUUCGACAGCUCAAGAAAAAAUAGAAGCAUGAAGUUUACCAAUUAAUAGCUCUGCAUGAAGAACAAAUAUCGCGGUUCUGUCAAAGGCAUCCAUUAGAUCAUUGAAAGCGGACAAAUUCAAUAUGUCAGUUUAGGAUCUUACAUGAAUUUCUCACGUUGGUUACAAUGUUUUUGACAAAAGAUGUAUUCUCCU
rnacentral:lncRNA from 1 species